rnacentral:rRNA from 1 species
AUUGAACGCUGGCGGCAUGCCUUACACAUGCAAGUCGAACGGCAGCACGGGAGCAAUCCUGGUGGCGAGUGGCGAACGGGUGAGUAAUAUAUCGGAACGUGCCCGGUCGUGGGGAUAACGUAGCGAAAGCUACGCUAAUACCGCAUACGAUCUAUGGAUGAAAGCGGGGGAUCGCAAGACCUCGCGCGAUUGGAGCGGCCGAUAUCAGAUUAGGUAGUUGGUGAGGUAAAGGCUCACCAAAGCCGACGAUCUGUAGCUGGUCUGAGAGGACGACCAGCCACACUGGGACUGAGACACGGCCCAGACUCCUA